UCCAUUGCUCAGUUGGUAAAGCACAAAGCUCUUAACCUUGUGGAGUGGGUUCAAGCCCUACGAUGGAA
rnacentral:tRNA from 1 species